rnacentral:lncRNA from 1 species
ACAUUAAAAAGGAAGCCUUUUGGAGAAACAGUGUUGACCGGAAGUGCGCAGUGACGCAGAGGCUGGACUUCCGGCCAGUGGGGGCCGUUGCCCUCGGGUCUCCGUCCGGGGCGCCCUUUCCUUCUGCCCAGUGGCUUGGCGCGUCCGGGUCACAUCUGUGCUCUCGCAGAGCGGACCUCUGGGCCUCUUCUGCCCGCGACCCGAGCCCCGAUGGGGCCCUGGCCUGGGGUCUCCAGCCGCCUUCCCAGGGUCUGUCCCGGGCUUCUCCAGCGCCCACCGUGCCGCGAUCUUAUGUUGCCACAGCGACGGCUUCAUUUCUCUUUGCCUCUUUCAAGCAACCAUACCGCCAGGUCUCCCCCCCCGAGUCUGCUGCUUGUAGGGCCAGGUCCCGGGCUCCGAGCGGACUCUCGCCCCGUCCCAGCCUCCUCUUCCUGCCCGGGUUUCCCAGAGAGGGCUUCCGGCUCAUCUGUGACUUGCUUGCCGUGCAGCUGCCAGGCUGCAGCUCCAGGGCCUCAGGGGCGAAGGACGACCUUGUGCCGGGACCCUGCAUGUCAGUGCAUACAGAAAGGAGGCGCCGGCCUGGAUGGGAAGACUGAAUCUGUCGGCCCAGAAGAGUGUGAAGAAUCACAGCCCUCCUUCAGGACUCUUGUUUCCAGAUCUCGGGGUGGCGGAUGA